rnacentral:rRNA from 1 species
UACGGAGGGUGCAAGCGUUAUCCGGAUUCACUGGGUUUAAAGGGUGCGUAGGAGGGCAGGUAAGUCAGUGGUGAAAUCCCCGAGCUUAACUUGGGAACUGCCGUUGAUACUAUCUGUCUUGAAUACCGUGGAGGUGAGCGGAAUAUGUCAUGUAGCGGUGAACUGCUUAGAUAUGACAUAGAACACCAAUUGCGAAGGCAGCUCGCUACACGAAUAUUGACUCUGAGGCACGAAAGCGUGGGGAUCAAACAGG